GUGAGUUCUAACAGGAGAAAAAGGGGUUUCCCUAAUGAACCCUAAAAUAUACAAAAUCAACCAAAUCAAGAGGGCAAAUCAAGUCUAAAUCGAAAACCAAGCUAGGAUUAGUGAUCACUCGGGCUAGAGGAUCACAAGUUUGACACUAAACAAGCUAGGAAGGAGCUUGGAAAGAAACGGGUCAAACGGAUGAUGAUUGCGAAGAAUGUUUGCGCGGACGCGAUGAUAAAUCGGCUUAUGAAUUAGCGAUGCUAUGAAUUAACAAUUACUGAGACAAGGUAUUAAAACGGGUCAAUAUGUUGAUCCAAACCAGGUGAAUGUUAUAUGCUUCCGGAUGAAG
rnacentral:lncRNA from 1 species